rnacentral:rRNA from 1 species
ACGGUGCUGAAGUGACAAAUGCCCUGCUUCCAGGAAAAGCCUCUAAGCAUCAGGUAACAUCAAAUCGUACCCCAAACCGACACAGGUGGUCAGGUAGAGAAUACCAAGGCGCUUGAGAGAACUCGGGUGAAGGAACUAGGCAAAAUGGUGCCGUAACUUCGGGAGAAGGCACGCUGACAUGUAGGUGAAGCCCCUGCGGGUGGAGCUGAAGUCAGUCGAAGAUACCAGCUGGCUGCAACUGUUUAUUAAAAACACAGCACUGUGCAAACACGAAAGUGGACGUAUACGGUGUGACGCCUGCCCGGUGCCGGAAGGUUAAUUGAUGGGGUUAUCGCAAGAGAAGCUCCUGAUCGAAGCCCCGGUAAACGGCGGCCGUAACUAUAACGGUCCUAAGGUAGCGAAAUUCCUUGUCGGGUAAGUUCCGACCUGCACGAAUGGCGUAAUGAUGGCCAGGCUGUCUCCACCCGAGACUCAGUGAAAUUGAACUCGCUGUGAAGAUGCAGUGUACCCGCGGCAAGACGGAAAGACCCCGUGAACCUUUACUACAGCUUGACACUGAACAUUGAGCCUUGAUGUGUAGGAUAGGUGGGAGGCUUUGAAGCGUGGACGCCAGUCUGCGUGGAGCCGACCUUGAAAUACCACCCUUUAAUGUUUGAUGUUCUAACCUGGCGCCGUGAUCCGGCGUGGGGACAGUGUCUGGUGGGUAGUUUGACUGGGGCGGUCUCCUCCCAAAGUGUAACGGAGGAGCACGAAGGUCAGCUAAUCCUGGUCGGACAUCAGGAGGUUAGUGCAAUGGCAUAAGCUGGCUUGACUGCGAGAGUGACGGCUCGAGCAGGUGCGAAAGCAGGUCAUAGUGAUCCGGUGGUUCUGUAUGGAAGGGCCAUCGCUCAACGGAUAAAAGGUACUCCGGGGAUAACAGGCUGAUACCGCCCAAGAGUUCAUAUCGACGGCGGUGUUUGGCACCUCGAUGUCGGCUCAUCACAUCCUGGGGCUGAAGUAGGUCCCAAGGGUAUGGCUGUUCGCCAUUUAAAGUGGUACGCGAGCUGGGUUUAGAACGUCGUGAGACAGUUCGGUCCCUAUCUGCCGUGGGCGCUGGAGAAUUGAGGGGGGCUGCUCCCAGUACGAGAGGACCGGAGUGGACGCAUCACUGGUGUUCGGGUUGUCAUGCCAAUGGCACUGCCCGGUAGCUAAAUGCGGAAGAGAUAAGUGCUGAAAGCAUCUAAGCACGAAACUUGCCCCGAGAUGAGUUCUCCCUGAGACUAUAAGUCUCCUGAAGGAACGUUGAAGACGACGACGUUGAUAGGCCGGGUGUGUAAGCGCAGCGAUGCGUUGAGCUAACCGGUACUAAUGAACCGUGAGGCUUAACCUU